AGGAGGAACAAGCACAGUGGCGGCGGCCAGCUCUGGAGCCCUGGAGUCAGCUCCUGCAGUAACUACAGAGCUCUCCGUCUGCAGGGCCUGGAGGCUCCGGGGCGGG
rnacentral:pre_miRNA from 1 species